CCUACGGGAGGCAGCAGUGAGGAAUAUUGGUCAAUGGCCGUAAGCCUGAACCAGCCAAGUCGCGUGAGGGAUGAAGGUUCUAUGGAUCGUAAACCUCUUUUGUCAGGGAAUAAAAUGUGGGACGUGUCCUAUUCCGUCGGUACCUUAUGAAAAAGGAUCGGCUAACUCCGUGCCAGCAGCCGCGGUAAUACGGAGGAUCCGAUCUUUAUACGGAUUUAUUGGGUUUAAAGGGUGCGUAGGGGGCCUGUUAAGUCAGCGGUAAAAGCCCGGGGUUCAACCCCGGAUAGCCGUUGAAACUGGGUGGCUUGAGUAGGCGAGAGGCAGGCGGAAUGCGUGGUGUAGCGGUGAAAUGCUUAGAUAUGACGCAGAACCCCGAUUGCGAAGGCAGCAUACC
rnacentral:rRNA from 1 species